UAGGCAGAAGCUUGCAGGUUUAAGGCAUCUAACUGUUAAUUAGAAUUUUAUGGGAUCGAGGCCCAUCUGUCUAG
rnacentral:tRNA from 1 species